rnacentral:rRNA from 1 species
UCGGGAAUUUUGGGCAAUGGGCGAAAGCCUGACCCAGCAACGCCGCGUGAAGGAUGAAGUAUUUCGGUAUGUAAACUUCGAAAGAAUGGGAAGAAUCAAUGACGGUACCAUUUAUAAGGUCCGGCUAACUACGUGCCAGCAGCCGCGGUAAUACGUAGGGACCAAGCGUUGUUCGGAUUUACUGGGCGUAAAGGGCGCGUAGGCGGCUUUGUAAGUCACUUGUGAAAUCUCCGGGCUUAACUCGGAACGGCCAAGUGAUACUGCAAAGCUAGAGUGCAGAAGGGGCAAUCGGAAUUCUUGGUGUAGCGGUGAAAUGCGUAGAUAUCAAGAGGAACACCUGAGGUGAAGACGGGUUGCUGGGCUGACACUGACGCUGAGGCGCGAAAGCCAGGGGAGCAAACGGGAUUAGAUACCCCGGUAGUCCCUGAGCGGGCUGGCAAGGCGCAU